UCCUCGCUAGCUUAGUUAGAAAAGCUGCAGGGCGUAAACCUGAAACGCCUGGGUUCAAAUCCCAGUCGAGUUCCAAA